UUUUUUUCUUUUUCUUUUUUAGGAUUUUAGAAUAUUUGCAUUAUACCAGUUGAGCACCUCAAAUCCAAAAGUUCAAAAUCCAAAAUGUUCCAAAGAGCAUUUCCUUUGACCAUCAUGUCAGCACUCAAAGAAUUUUGCAUUUUGGAUUUUUGGGUUUGGGAUACUUAACCUGUAUUUUAUUUUAUUUAGUUCAAUAUUAAAACAUACUAACUUACUACUUAAUAGACUAUAUACUCCAGUAUUUCAAUCUUUACCAUACCUCUUUCUUCAGGAACAAAAGGCACACAAUUUAACACUUGCACAAUGUCACAAUCAGGAACAGUGAUCAAAAGAAGAGAUGAUAUCUGGAAAUGAAGACCAAGAUUUUAAAACUUUUGACUACAAAAACUGUUCAAUUACACGUCACAUUCAACUUAAGGUGUAUAAAGAAACCUAAAAAAACCCACACACACACACACAACUAAGAAAACCUCUCUACCCUUAAGCAUAUAUCAUUGAUGCCCAGUGGUAACAUGUCAUAAAUCUGCAAAAGUCACAAUCUAACGCCUAGAAUCAAUCUGACUCAGUAUCUUCAUUUAUUAUAAGAAAAAGAAAUAGAGCCUUGCCCAAAGUCACAAAACUAGAACUAAUAUCUGGAUCUGAUUCCAACUCAGUUAUCCUACAACCACAAUAGUAACCCUUAAUACUUAUUUCUGGUAUCUAAUAUGCCAUGAAAACUGCUCACCAUGAGACGCCAAUACCCCAUAUAGAAUUGAAAUACUCACAGCCUACACACCUGGGACCAGAUAAUAAACAAAAAUUUCAAGACUGUGUUAAAACCCUUUUCUUCUGCUUAUGGCACUUUGCCACAAAACCUUCAGUAGCAUACCUGAAGGAAUGUCGGCAAGAUUAAAGUCUCCUAUCAUUAAAAAAAAAAAAAAAAAGUUGUAUUAAGUACUCUAAAGUAUGCAAUGUCAGAACGCCUCAAUGAGAACAAUUCUAAACAACUAUAUACAGAAAAGCAAACAAUAAAAAUAAACUUAAAGGGCAUUUAAAGUAUAUCUCGAAGUCAAAUUAUAGAUUUAGGCUAAAGUACAGUCCCUCUGUAAUGUUUCAAAAUAUAGAAACUUCUGGGAUUACAGCAUACUAUUACCAGAGAGGCUAGAACAGAAUCCGAAGUGUGACCAUGGCAAAAAACUGAAGCAUUUAAAAGUUCAUACAUUAUCAAUGCACAUAGUGGUUGUUCAUUGUGGUUACUGUCUUUUGUCCUUCCAUAAAACCAGAUAUAAAACGUUUUAAUUGGUCAUUAUACUUAUUUUCACUGCAACAAACAGGAAACAUUUGGUUGUGUAACAUACCUACAUUUUAUUCUCCUCCCCCUUUUGUUGGCAAUUUUCUGUAUCCAGGGAUGAUCUAAUUUAUAGUUUUUAUAGCAAAAAUCAACAUUGUUUACUAUGCUUACCUUCCCCAGGAAAUCCCAACACCCUCAAUGUGUUAAAAGAAUGCAAUGUCUCUUUAUAAAUUUCAGAAAAGAGAAUUUUGCUGAAAGGUAGUGAAUGCAUUUCUAUAAAUUUGCAGUUAAACUCUGAAAAUGUUAGGAAAUUUCACUGAAUCAAUUUAAAUGUUUUAAAUUAAAUCUGAGGAUACCAACCUUAGAGUAUACUCAAAUCAGAUCCCUUGCUGCAGAAAAAGCAAUUCAAUAAUUACCAGUAACUAGAUCUAACAUGCACAUUUUCAAGUUAAUAGAAUUCCUAUCCUGACAGUUUGGUGUCUUCAUGUUUUAUCACUGUGACAACUGUACAAAUUCCAACAUUCUUAUGAAUUCCUUGAACAUUGACUUAUUUUAUUUUUCUAGGGUUUUUUAGACGUUUGACAACAUACUCAACAAUGUUUGCACUCAAACAGCUCACAUACACUACUUGCUAUCAAAUUUAAACCUAAAAAGAAAACUGAGUCUUAAAUGUUGUAUUCUAAACUUUAAAGCUACAUCUGUUUGUUCGGUCCGCUUAAGAGUUAAAACAUUUUUCCUUAUAUACAUUCACUCCAUAUACUUUUCAAUUACCACAGCCACCUAGGAAGAGACUGUCUACUUGACAAAGAGGACACCAUGUAAAGAAUAGAGUCAAAAUGAACCCUACAUGUGAGAAAGCCAGUUACAAAGAAAUCCAUCUGCCACUGGGUGUGGUUAGGGUCUGCGGGGAAGAGCACCUUUGGCCAACUCUGGAGAAGAGCGAGCGCUUCAGGGAGCUGGGCAUCUCUGCAAGAAAUGGCCCCCAAUGACCAUAGGCUGGGCCAGCAAUAGGGACGCCGUCGAGUCGGGCCUGCGAACCUAUAGCUCGAGGGGUGCGGUCUGCGGGGUGCCCUUGCUGUCUCCACCAACCACGAAACCCGCCGAGUGAGUGCUUCGAGCGCCGCGCGCCCAGCUUCGCCCCAAACACCGCGCCCGAUCCGCCCCUUCCUCCGGGGUUCGGCUGCCUGCGGGGAGCGCGGAGGCACACCGUGCCCUACUCCCACCCAGCUCCUAGAAUGUAGGAGAGUGUAGAGUUGAAAAAGCCCGGACGUAAAACAACCCCAGGUUUAGAAAGUAAGGGUUAGCUCUAGCAGCCUGCAAAAGCGCUCGGCAAAAAAACCCCGACUUCUCCAGAAAAACUUUGCGGCAAGUUAGGCGGAAGCGCUGAAUGGCCGGGACUAUUUAACUUGCGCUUCCUCUCACAAGAGGCGGAUCCCUAGCCCUGUUUGGGGGACCCUGACGGUCCACAAACUCGCCGUUUGCCUGCUGGCCGGCCCUCUAGAAGUUCCGGUAUCCUAAAAGGUCUGGGCAGUCCCGCUCACGGGGAGUACCUGUCGUAGUCCCCAUUGCCUGCGAGUCCCUGAUGGCGGCCAUUACACUUCCAUCCGGGUAUUGCCGAAAAGCUGAUCGC
ensembl:lncRNA